rnacentral:lncRNA from 1 species
CAGAGCGCCAGGCUAAUUUGCAGCUUUGCCCACUGAGAAAAUUGGGACUUCCUAUUCUCAGCCCUCUGCACCUUACAGGUCCUGCCUUCCUCCUUCAGACAUGCACCUCUGGACCAGAAUAGGAGAUGAGGUCUCAAAGUAGGGAUACCUUCCAUAGCAGGAGAAGGUAAUAAAUCAUAGCUGUGAGUACAAUUAUCUGCUGAGUCCUGCAAGUCCUCCUAGCAAAUCACUGAACCUGAGGAUGGUUUUGACGACCCUCAACACAAUGAUCCCAUCCAGAUACCACAUUACACUGAGUUGUCACAUCUCCUUGGUCUCCUUUGGUCUGUGAUGAUUUCUCAGACUUUCCUUGGUUUCAAUGACAUUGAUAGUUUUGGGUGUAUUGCUCAGAUAUUGUGCAAAAUAUCCCUCAACUGGGAUUUGUCUGAUGUUUUUCUCAUGAUUAGACUGUGGUUAGGGUUUCAGGAAGAAGACCAUAGAGGUAAAGUACAAUUCUCACCAUUCCCUUAGGAUUUUGAAGUGAAUCCUAGAUAUCAUAUGAUUUCAUAUGCAGAUAUUUCAGAAUGAAGUUUUAAAAGGUAAGGGCUCUUUUUCCUGAGACAUAUCUUUGGCCAGGUAGGAGCCUUCCUUCAAACAGCUGUAGCAGUACAGGUUAAUGAUGCUGAUUCUUUUU